rnacentral:rRNA from 1 species
GGCCAGCAGCCGCGGUAAUACGUAGGGUGCAAACGUUAUCCGGAUUUAUUGGGCGUAAAGAGCUCGUAGGUGGUUUUGUAAGUUGGAUAUAAAAUACUUUGGCUCAACCAAAGAACCGUAUCCAAAACUGCAAGGCUUGAGGUAUGUAGGGGAGGAUGGAACUUACAGUGUAGCAGUGAAAUGCGUAGAUAUUGUAAGGAACGCCAAUGGUGAAGACAGUCCUCUGGACAUUACCUGACACUGAGGAGCGAAAGCGUGGGGAGCGAACGGGAUUAGAUACCCCGGUAGUCCACGCCGUAAACGAUGCAUACUAGGAAUUUGGAGAAUCGACCCUCUGAGUUUCGAAGCUAACGCGUUAAGUAUGCCGCCUGGGUAGUACGACCGCAAGGUUAAAACUCAAAGGAAUUGACGGGGGCCCGCACAAGU